rnacentral:rRNA from 1 species
CCUACGGGAGGCAGCAGUGAGGAAUAUUGGUCAAUGGGCGCGAGCCUGAUCCAGCGAAGUAGCGUGAAGGAUGACUGCCUUACGGGUUUUAAACUUCUUUUAUAAAGGAGUAAAGUGAGGCACGUGUGCCUUUUUGUAUGUACUUUAUGAAUAAGGAUCGGCUAACUCCGUGCCAGCAGCCGCGGUAAUACGGAGGAUCCGAGCGUUAUCCGGAUUUAUUUGGUUGAAAGGGAGCGUAGAUGGGUUGGUAAGUCAGUUGUGAAAGUUUGUGGCUCAACCGUAAAAUUGCAAUUGAUACUGGCAGUCUUGAGUACAGUAGAGGUAGGCGGAAUUCGUGGUGUAGCGGUGAAAUGCUUAGAUAUCACGAAGAACACCGAUUGCGAAGGCAGCUUACCAAACUGCCACUGACAUUGAUGCUCGAAAGUGUGGGGAUCAAACAGGAUUAGAUACCCUGGUAGUC